CAAAGGAGCGAUCCGGUGACGGAUGGGCAUGCGCCGCAUUAGUUAGUUGGCGGUGUAACGGACCACCAAGACGACGAUGCGUAGGGGUUCUGAGAGGAAGGUCCCCCACACUGGUACUGAGACACGGACCAGACUCCUACGGGAGGCAGCAGUGAGGAAUAUUGGUCAAUGGGCGAGAGCCUGAACCAGCCAAGUCGCGUGAGGGAAGACGGUCCUAUGGAUUGUAAACCUCUUUUGCCGGGGAGCAAAAAGCGGUACGUGUACCGCAUCGAGAGUACCCGGAGAAAAAGCAUCGGCUAACUCCGUGCCAGCAGCCGCGGUAAUACGGAGGAUGCGAGCGUUAUCCGGAUUUAUUGGGUUUAAAGGGUGCGCAGGCGGCGAGUUAAGUCAGCGGUAAAAUUUCGGGGCUCAACCCCGACAAGCCGUUGAAACUGGCUUGCUAGAGUGGGCGAGAAGUAUGCGGAAUGCGUGGUGUAGCGGUGAAAUGCAUAGAUAUCACGCAGAACUCCGAUUGCGAAGGCAGCAUACCGGCGCCCAACUGACGCUCAGGCACGAAAGCGUGGGUAUCGAACAGGAUUAGAUACCCUGGUAGUCCACGCAGUAAACGAUGAG
rnacentral:rRNA from 1 species